rnacentral:misc_RNA from 1 species
AAGUCGUAACAAGGUUUCCGUAGGUGAACCUGCGGAAGGAUCAUUAACACGUAUCCACGUAUCAACCAAAUGCGAACUUGUUUUCACCUCCCUGAGUUAGCACAUGAGAAGGAAGUAAGGAGACUUUUGAGUGGGACGCAAGUCCGGUCUCUUCACCUAUACGAUUGAGUUCGCUCUUUCAUACUUCUGUAGUGUUAAAGCAGGACAAACUAUCUUAUCAUUUGCAAUUCCCUCAUGAUUGCGAUUGGUAGGAGAACACAUUAACCAAUUUCACCCCCUUUUUGCUAGUUGACUUUUUAUAUGUUGUUUACAGGACAGAUUUAUCUGCACUGCAUUCACACGUUUAAUUACUUGAACGUUAAAAAUACAACUCUUAGCAAUGGAUAUCUUGGUUCUC